rnacentral:lncRNA from 1 species
AGUAUCAAUAUACUUAGCCUUUGGUGACAGUGGCAGGUUCAAAGUAUUUGGGGGCAAUUCUUCCUUCUAAUGUGUUAUUGGUCAUGACGGUGCAGCCAUGUAUAAGGAGAAAAGAUUACCAGAGAUGUGCAAUAGUUUGAAAUCUUAUAAACAGUGGGAUUUCCAGAACAAAAAAGGCAGAUGCUGGCUUACUUAGUGCUCAUUCAUUCACAGCUAUGAGGUGUCCUCUGGGAGAUAGGCCUUAGAUUGGACCUAUGUCUUAGUCCAUUUUGUGCUGCCAUAACAGAAUAGCACAAACUGGGUAAUCCUCAAAGAACGGAGAUUUAUUUCUUAUAGUUCUGAAGCCUGGGUAGUCCAAGAUCAAAGGACUGGUAUCUGGUGAGGGCCUUCUUGCUGCAUCAUCCUAUAAUGGAAGGUGAAAGGGAAAAAGUCCUAAUUCAAGAACAUUUCAUACAUAAUCACUUUGAUAAAAAAGGAGAUUGGCAAGAGCAUAAAAAUAUUUAAAACACUAGAUUAAUGAAUCCAAAGCUACAUAAAGAUCUUAUAAUAACAGUAGUAAACAUUUUGAGAAAUGUGUAGAAACUCCUAACUGCAGGGUUUUAUAACCAAUAUGUUAUAACUAAUAUAAAAGCAAUAUGUUGCUAAUAGACAGCCAUACUUCACACUAAGUUCUCUAAUGGGAUAACUUGCAGGAUUCAUAAUUUAACAACAGAUUGAAAAAGGAAAAUUUUUAGAUUCAGUAGCAAACAUUUUGGAUUUCUCAACAACACUUUCUCCCUAAAUUGCUGUGAAAUACAUUAUUCAUCAAUACCUAGAUCCAGAAAUAUUCACUGAGGGCCUGUAGUGGCAGGUAGUGAAUUCAUUGAGGCAACCCAUGCAAAGUGCACCCGCAGAGCCUGUGAUGUGAGGGGGAUUUAAACAUAAGUUGCCCUCACUCUACUUCUUAAAAAUAUUUUCAAAUGAUUCAUUAACAUUCUUAUUUUAUAUGAUCCUUGAAUUAGUUAGAUGUAUAUUCCUCAAUCUCCAAGUAUUUUGAAAUUUUUCUAUCAUUUUGCUAUUAAUUUUUAGUUAAAGUCCUCAUGUUUGAGAACUUAUUUUGUAUGAUUACUGUUAUUUUAAUUUCACACAUGUAUGUCCAAUGGCCAAGAAUGUUCUCUAUCUUGCAGAGCAUUCCCUGUGAGGUUGAGAAGAUGUAUAUUUUGCUAUUGGAACGAUAAUUCUAUAAAUGUCAGUUGGAUCAAGUUACUGAAAUAGGGGCUGAAAUCUCUAUCUAUAAUAAUAAAUGUGUAUGUUUCUCCUUGCGGUUAUCAGUUUUUGUCACAUAUUUUGACACUUGAUUUUUAAGUGAAUGCUUCAAGGUUUGCUAAUGUCUUUUUGGAGAAUUAAACCUUUUAUCAUUAUCAUUAGGUAAUGUCCCUCUUUAUCUGUAAUAAUUUUCCUUCUGCUCUGUUUUGUCUGAAAUGAAUAAAGCUGCUCCAGCUUUCUUUUGAUUAGUGAUAGCAUCCAUGUCUUUCUUUAUCUCCUUUACUUUUAGCCUAUCUAUGUCUUUAUAGUUAAAAUUGGUUUCUUGUAGGGAACAGAUAGAGUUUUUCCCCCUGCACUCAAAAUUUGUCUGUUAACUGAUAUAUUUAGAUCAUUCACAUUUAAAGUGACUAUUAAUAUAUUUCAAUCAGUAUCGAUUAUGUUUGUAGCUUUUAAAAUUUUCUUGAACAUUAUUUGUUUCUUUUUUAUCUCUUCUCUUUUUAUAUCUUCUCUGGUUUUCAUUGAAGUUUGAAUGAUUUCAUUUUACUUCCUCUCUUAACCUAUCAAUUAUACUUUUUAAAAAAUGGUUAUUUUAGAGUUUACCACAUACAUUUAUAAUGAAUUUAAGUUCAUUUUUAAAUAACACUAUGCCUCCUUACUGGUUUUUCAGGUAACUUAUAGAGUAUUUCCACUUCCCUUCUCCUAUCCCUUGAAAAAUUGUCAUUUAUUUCUCUUAUCCAUAUGGCAUAAUCAAAGAAUAAAUUGGUGAUAUUUGUUCAAAAAUCCAUGCCUAUUAGAUUCAUUUAGAAUAUAAAAAAAUUUUAUUUUAUUUUCACUUAUUUCUUCUCCACUGAUUUUUCUAUUUUUAUGUAGAGAUGAGUUUCUGACAUAUAUUUCUUCUUCCUGAAGAAAAUAUUUUAACAUUUCCUGCAUGGGUGGUCUCUGGUCAUAAAUUCCCUUAGUUUUUGUUUGAGCAAGUAUUUAUCUGUUGAUGACUUUUCAAGGAUAGUUUUGUGGGAUACAGAAUUCUAGAUCAGCGUUUUUUUUUUUUUUCCCUUUCUACUCUUGAUAUAGUUCAUCCCACACUCUUCUUGCUGACAGGACUUCUGCCAAGGACAACUUUCCUGUAAUGUUUAUCUUUCCUUAUUCCUCCAUAGGUAAGGUUGUUUUUUUGUUUUUGUUUUUUUCUCAGAAUUUCCUUUUUUUUUUCUUUUUCUUUCUGCAGUUUGACUUUGCCAUGCAUAGGUGUCAUUUUUUGUUAUUUAUCCUAUGUCCUGUUUUUACAUUUUUUUUAAUUAUAAAAAGGGAGGGUGCUUAUUGGCUUCCUGGAUCUAUGGUUUCUUAAUUGUCACCAAUUUUAUAAUGUUCUCCACCACUCUUGCUUCAAAUAUUUUUUCUUUUCUUUUUCUCCUCUUGGCAUUCCAAUUGUGCAUAUGUUACAACUUUUGAAUUUGCCCAGAAGUUCUUGGAUAUUACGUUUUUCUCUUUUUUUCUAUAAAUUUCUGCUUGAAAAGUUUCUACUGAUUUAUCUUCUGAAUCACCAGUUCUUUCCUCAGUCAGUUUAUUGAUGUGUACAUCCAAACCAUUCUUAAUUUUCGUUAGUGUUUUUUAAUUUUACGAAUUUCUAUUGAUACUUUCAUAGAGUUUUUAUUUGUCUGCUUUUAUUACACAUAUGUUAUUGCAUGUUGUCUACUUUUUUCAUUAGAGCUCUCAGCAUAUUAAUCAUAGUUAUUUUAAAGCCACUGUAAAACUUCUGAUAUCUGCUUGUGAUCUGGCUUUGAAACUUGUUUCUUCUUUCCAGACUGUUUUCCUGCCUUCACAUGACUUACCAUUUGUUUUGUUGUUAUUGUUGAAAGCCUAGCAUGCUAUAUCAAGUUAUAGAAAAUGAGGUAGAUAGGCCGUUAGUGUGUUUAAUCAAGUUUAGCCUAAAACUGCCUCCUUACAUAUUUUAAGUUCCACCUAAAGUCUUCUCUAUACGUUGUGAACUGUAAAAAGUGGAGGUGUAAACAGACCAUAGCUUACACUUGUGCCAGUCACCAAGUUAUGGUCAAUCAAAUGUAGCCAACUCUUCAAAUAAGUCAAACUCCCAGCUGUAACCAAUCCAUCUAUUUCUGUAUCUUACUUCCUUUUUUCUGUACCUCACUUUCCUUUUUCUGUCCAUAAAUCACGUGGCUGUGCCGGAGUCUCAAAGAGCCUAGUCUCGUUCAGGAGGUUGCCUGAUUCACAUAUCUUUCAUUGUUCAGUUAAACUGUUUUAAAUUAAAUUUGGCAGAAGUUUCUCUUUUAUCAAGUGUGAAGUUUUAUGUAAAUCUUUCUAGGACUUGAACUGUAUUUAAUUUUCGCUGUAGCCAUGGGUGCCAAGGCCUUCAAAUUCCUCUAGUAUUCUUACUUGUCUCUCUUCUUUGUUUUUUGUUUCUUUAAAAAUUCCUUUUUUAAUAGAGCCUGAAGCUCUGUCAUUGUGAAAAUAAGGAACAGGGUAGGAGAGGCAUUUUAUAAUCUUAUACAAUCUCAGUCUUUUGGUGGUUCUGCAUCCCUGGGUUGUGUCCUUUACAAGCAUCUCUUACCUCUCUCCCCUCCUUCAACUUUAGGUGAGAUAAGAAAGCACGAGAGUGCUGGAACUAGAUAAUUGCUUUUCUGCCUAUGGAAGAUAAAUCACCGGCAAGUUCAUUUUCAGUGGAAAAUAAUCCAUUUUUCUGGGGUAUGCAUAGUUGUAUUUCAAAGUGGUCACUUUUGUCCUCUCCCUGGCCAAAGACAUGAGCUGAGUUUUCUUGGAUCUCCACCAUGAGAACCUGGUAGCCCAUAAAGUUGUAGGGGGUCUCUCUAAGAUUACAGUCCCCAGAAGUUUUUUAUUCUCAAGCUAGUCUACACUGAGCCUCCAACAAUUUAUUGACUACUGUUGAAAUGUCCCAGUUUAUAGUUCUAUCAGGGCCUCUUCUAAGUAACCUGAUCUGAGGUUUGUUUCUUUGUAUUCAGUUUGUUUUUUUCAGAUCCAAAGCAACGCAAUACUCUGAUGCAUGCAAGAAAACUCACUGAUUUUUCAAUUGCUCAUCUUUUUUUUUUUUUUUUAAGAUGGGAAUGAUAACUUUCAAACCCUUUUCUUGUUAGAGGUGAAACUAUAUACCCUGGUUUUUCACAAAUUCAGAUUAUUGGCCUUGGAGCAAAAAACAAACAAACAAACAAACAACAAAUCAGAACCUCAUGGAAGUUGAUAUGGAAUGCACAUAGGAGCCCCCUUAAUACACAUUUACAACCUCUUAAGACACAGAUGUUAUGAAAUCUAAUUUUCUUUAGUUUCUGUACAGAAGAACUUCAUAUUUCUCUAAAGCAGUAAUAGGUUUUCUCAUAAAUCUUGCAAAUUCACUCCAAACACAUAUACAAGUAGAAAAGGCAUAACAAUGAAAUGGCCUUGGAUAUAGAACCAAUAUUCUAUGAAUAUCUAACAGAUGUAUGAAACAUUACAGGCAUUCAGUAUGCACAAGGAUUUCAUUACUGCCCUGGGGUCUGCAACAUUAUUUUGCUGAAAAUAACCUUAAACAGCUAAGCAAUGACAGCCUUUCUUCUUAUUACCUGGCAUCCUCACUUUAAGUGGUAACUUCAACAGUUCAUCUAGGCUCUGCCUUCUUUCCACCGUCAUUAAUGAUUUGCAGUGAGUCAGUUUUCAUGGAUUACCCACAUUGCAUUUUGAUACUGAUGACUAAUUCUCUAGCGGUUUUCUAUACUUAGAUGAAAUGGAGAAAUCUUUCCUUUUUUCACAUAUGAAGAACCACUUCAAGUUACUAAUAUGAAGGUAACCAAACAGGGCUUCUCCUUUAAACUAUGCUAAUUUUUCUGUCUUCUUGUUUUGUGAUACUUGUGUCAUUUAGUGAUCAGGUGUGAUCUCAUACUCUAUGAAUCAUGCUAUCAACCAAAAUGACUCUAUUUUAAUGAACUGAGCCACAAUUAAAACAAACAAACAGGCUAUUUCAUACCAAAAUGCUGAUUUAACAAUUCUUUUAAACUUGGAAAAUUGGCAACCUUAUGUAUGUAUCUCUACAUGGAAAUAAUCGGAUAUCAGAUAAUGAAGACAGGAGUUAUGUGAACCUGCUUUUGGGACUUGGGUAGAGUGUGAUACCAGCUGCUUUUCUCCUCACCAUAAAUGCUUUCUCCGGAAAAUUCUACCCCUAACUCUUACCGGGGGUCCUUGCUCACAGAGCUCCUCAGAUGGUGGCGAGCCACUUCCAAGAUGGUGGUAGGCCACUUCCAAGAUGGUGGCUAGCCUCGUGUUCUCUGACCUGGGGUUCUUGGCCUCACAGAUUCCAAGGAAUGGAAUCUUGGGCCGUGCGGUGAGUGUUAUAGCUCUAUUAGAAGCCAUGGGUCAUGGAAGAGAACCGUGGAACCCAGUGACUAGUGUUCAGCUCAAUUAGGAUGAACCUGGGCACUUAGCCGUGCAGGAACAACGGCAAGCCUUUAGCCCAAUCAGGAUUGGCAAUGGGUGCCUCGCUGGUUCAGGAGCACAGCGGACAGCCUGCCGG